UACGUAGGGUGCAAGCGUUAAUCGGAAUUACUGGGCGUAAAGCGUGCGCAGGCGGUUAUGCAAGACAGAUGUGAAAUCCCCGGGCUUAACCUGGGAACUGCAUUUGUGACUGCAUAGCUGGAGUACGGCAGAGGGGGAUGGAAUUCCGCGUGUAGCAGUGAAAUGCGUAGAUAUGCGGAGGAACACCGAUGGCGAAGGCAGUCCCCUGGGCCUGUACUGACGCUCAUGCACGAAAGCGUGGGGAGCAAACGGG
rnacentral:rRNA from 1 species